rnacentral:rRNA from 1 species
GCGAAAGUCGGCCAUAGUGAUCCGGGAGUCCCAUGUGGACAGGACUAAUCAGACCGACUGGUCGAACAGAGACAAAAGUCGGCUAUAGUGAUCCGGGAGUCCCAUAUGGAAGGGCUCUCGCUCAA